rnacentral:lncRNA from 1 species
GAAGUCCUAGAAUUUUACCUUUUUAUCAGAUUCUUAUAUUUGAUCCCACGAUUGUUUACUUAUUUUUGAGUCUCUUAACAGUGAAUAUAUUUUGCAGGCAGCUGUUCUUAUGUGUGUGUGUGUGGGUUUGUGGGCUGGACUUAUCAUCGAUUUUUGUAACAGAGUAAUGUGUACAUGUAACUGUAUGCUCAUUAUGCGGAACUUUUUCUUCUAUCAAUCGUUUAAAUUUUCAAUUAUUCUACUGUAUACUCAGUAUGCGGAACUUGUUCUUCUUUUAAUCGUUUAAAUUUUCAGUUAUUCUGAUUUGGGUAAUGCAGAAACCGGAGUCUGUAAUAGUGAAAGAGAGAAGCCUUUCGGUGAUUCUUUUGGCCGGUGGGAAGGUACAAGGAUGGGAGUCCUCUUUUGUCACCAUUUUGAUACAUCAACUAGUAUUUUUGGAGUGUGAGGAGGCUUUUUGUUAUGUUGGUGCAACUUGGUCAGUAUGCUGAAACAGUAUCUCCCGCUUUUAAGCCAGCCAAUUGCAUUGUGCAGGUAACUUAUUCAACCAAUGCUUUUAUAUGAUUUUACAUUGCGUCGAUUGAGCUGAUGAACUCACUGAAAUGCUGAUUCCGUAUGUUUCUUUAGAACCUAAUGACAAGGAUUCCUUUAGUGUAGUUUCCGGCCCUUAUGGUUGUUUAUGUUUGUCAUCUUUGCUUUUUUUUUGUUACUCUUCUGAAUGAGUAUUUUGCCAACCCCGUGUAUCUUCUAUACUUUCUCCCGCAUGCCUCAAGUGAACGAAAUCAUUGUAGUUUGUGAUCUGUCCUACAGGGAUGUUAUUGAAGGACCCAUUCCUCUCUUUCUAACGUGCAGUUGCCUCUUUGACGUGUAUUUCUGUUGGGUGUAGUGCAGUAGAACACAUGUAUUCUGAUUUGGUUUCAGUUGUGUUCUCAGAUGCCAAGCAUAAGAUCCAGACGGAACUCAAAUUCACCCUAUCUGGGAAGGAAAGACAAGAUUCUGUCUACAGUGGAUUCCAGGUGCACGCACAUCAUUGUUUUGUCUUGUGAAAAGUCACUCAGUUGUAGCGUACAAUUCAACCUACCUACUUAACACAUUAUUCUGAAGUCUUCAUUCUACUUCAUCCCUAUGUUGGUUGGCACUAGCUAUCACAAUAUUUGAAACUAAGAAGGCCGUCUGGUUAUUUUGUUGGAUAUGCUCCUUUUUAAUGGAAACAAAAUUUCUUAUUUGUCAACAUCACUCUUGUGCAUUGGGGUGUCAUCUAUGCUGCCUCUGUAAUGAUGGAGAAUAGAAAGAAAGCACACUCCCCUCUACAACACAUUUCACUCUUAGACUUCUUCUCUAGAACAUUAAAGGGAAUUGGUGGUGCGAGUGUGAAAAAUAUUGAUAAUAGUGUGAAACUCACCCUCCUUUUGUCUUACUUUAAUGGCUAAGCAUUCAUCAUAUGCAUGUUUCCAGACGAAAGAAUGCCUGCUUAAUAGCUGAUUAUGAAUUUAACUUUUCUCCGCGUUUGUAAAUUCGUUGUAGCAUACAAGUCAACUGAAGUUUUUGUUUUUUGUUUUUUUUUUGGAUAAAAAAAUUAGUAUUUUCAAUAGGUGAUCUUCAACUGAACUGUAUUAUUGGAAAAUGAGGAUGUGUAAGUAUGGAUAACUUAUCACCAGAUGCAACUCUGUCUUCAGGCUAUUAAUUUGACCUCUGAACUUUUUUGCAUCCAUGAUUCUGCAAGACCUCUGGUAUCAUCAGGAUUCAGGAGGUGUUGAGAAGGUCAGACUUACCUUACUUGUAUAUCUAAUUCAUUCACGUUAUUCUCUUUUGAGUUUUGACAUUCUAUAUAAAUAGACCACCAUUUGGUGUGUAAAUCGCUAUGCGUUGUGUCAAAGGUAUAGAGAAAUACUGCUUAUAUAAAGGCAUCACUGUUUGGAACUAUUAUAUAAAUGUUUUUACACAUCCUUACUGUAGUGCAGAAUGGGUUGGUGGUUGUGAAUUCAGUUAUUUUGGUGUAUUCUUGGAGGUUAUACGUGAAGUCAGAUUUCUUCACUGUCACUACUGCUAAUGGUUGCUUUUCAGUUAAAUCUGCCAACAACUCCCUUUAUGAUUUCUGAUAUUCUCAUAAUUCUCAAUGGAAGUUGAUUUGGAAUCUUGAUAUUCCUCCCAAGCUGAAAACUUUCCUUUGGACUAUGCUUCAUAAAAAGCUGUUAACUAAUGUUCAAAGGGUCACUAGAAGAUUUACCAAUGAUGCUGCGUCCUAUAUGCCACUCUGCUGAUGAAACUCUUCUGCAUCUUCUAAGGGAUUGUCCUAGAUCUAUGCAGAUUUGGAGAGCUUUCCCUAAGCGCUGGUAUAAUUUCUAACUCUUUUUCCCUGGAUUGGAAUGGUUGGAUAAAUGCUCAGCUGCAUUGCCAUGCUUUUGUUAAAAAUAAUAUCAUGGAUUUCUGUUCCUUCUUCCUUCACCAUCUUCAAUUUGGGAACAGAGAAAGUUGUCAAGAACCGGUAAGCUCUGCUUCUUUCUCCUCUAAAUCAGUGUCAUCAAUGAUCUUUUGAAAUCUUCAUAUCUAUGGCCUUAUAUUGAAUCUUAAUUUAAGCCAUGUGAAAACAUUAUGGGAUCACUUUUGCUACAUACAUGUGUAUGGAAGUCUUUGAAUUUUACCUUUUUUCAGAUUAUUAUAUUUGAUCCCAUGAUUGUUUACUUAUUUUUGAGUCUCUUAACAGUGAAUAUAUUUUGCAAGCAGCUGUUCUUAUGUGUGUGUGUGUGGGUUUGUGGGCUGGACUUAUCAUCGAUUUUUGUAACAGAGUAUAAUACCAAUAACGUGUACAGGGAACUGUAUACUCAUUAUGUGGAACUUGUUCCUCUAUCAAUCG